GAAGAUGACGAGUGGCGGACGGGUGAGUAAUGCUUGGGAACUUGCCUUUGCGAGGGGGAUAACAGUUGGAAACGACUGCUAAUACCGCAUAAUGUCUUCGGACCAAACGGGGCUUCGGCUCCGGCGCAAAGAGAGGCCCAAGUGAGAUUAGCUAGUUGGUAAGGUAACGGCUUACCAAGGCGACGAUCUCUAGCUGUUCUGAGAGGAAGAUCAGCCACACUGGGACUGAGACACGGCCCAGACUCCUACGGGAGGCAGCAGUGGGGAAUAUUGCACAAUGGGGGAAACCCUGAUGCAGCCAUGCCGCGUGUGUGAAGAAGGCCUUCGGGUUGUAAAGCACUUUCAGUUGUGAGGAAAAGUUA
rnacentral:rRNA from 1 species